CUCAAGAGGCAGAGGUUGCAGUGAGCCUAGAUCAUACCACUGCAUGCCAGCCUGGGCAACAGAGCGAGACUCCACCUCACCAAAAAAACCAAAAAACAAAAAGGUAGUUUCAAUAUUGAGUUUCUUGUUAAAUUCAUAUCUCUUGUCUUGUGUAUUGUAGGUCACCAGUCAUAACUCUGUCAGGAAUGUAAGAGAAAAAUGUGAAAGGCAAUAAAAAAUACAGAAUUUGAAGGAAGGAUCAUGUAUCCUUAGGAAUACACGAUGUGGAAAAUGUGGAAGAUUUAAACUUCCACAUCACUAGUUUUGUGGUAGUUUUUAAGAUGCAUAAAAAAGGAAAUUUGGAGCAUCCAAGUUCUGAAGUUGUCCAGCUUUUUAAUUAAUGGUGAAUUUAAAAGGUAUUUGUUUACCAUCUUCAUUGAAUAAGGUGCUCAAUAGGUGAUUUCCACAUUGUUAUUUAUGAAACAUAAAUAAAUCACUUUCUCUACUAUACACAGGUCAGAGAACAAUUCCAGGCUCAGAUUUAAAUUGGGAACCAGAAUUGGGAGAUCUGAGCCUCCUGCCCUUUGUUCUGAAAAAUGGACCAUGCCCGCUUGAUGAGAGUAACAGUUUAGGACAUUCUCCAUUAUACACUGACAACUUCACACCACAUUUCAUCUUUUCUACUACCCUACUCUUGAUGGCUUUCCUGGCUCAGCGUGGAGAGGGCGGUGGGCAUGGGAGAAUUGAGCAUAACCUCAGCAUCAAGCAUCUCCUCAAGCUCUGAUGAGGAAAACUCCAGGGUCCUCUUAAUCUACUUCUUCAAAGAUGACUCCUAAGGAAAGGUGACAAUGAUAAGCGAGGAGAAAAUCUUCAUUGAUGGCUCCUGGCGCAGCUUGUAAGUGAAAUGAAGAUUCAGUGACAAUCUGUGUUAGGAGUUCUCAAAUUUUAAUGUGCAUAUGAGUCACCUGGACAUCUUGUCAAAUUGCAGAGUCUGAUUCAGAAGGUUGGGACCUGAGAGAGUGGUUUUCUGACAAGCUCUUAGGUAAUGCUGACCUUGCUGGUUCACAGGCCACACUGAGUAGCAAUGGUCUAGGCCAGUCAUUAGAAGCACCUGAGGGGACUGUUUAACACUCUUUCUUUGGCUAGAGUCACACAGUAAAGAAGAAAAAAAAACCUCCUGAUAUUCAGGUGUUAUGCCAGACAAAUUACAUAAAAAUCUUUGGAUCGAACCCCUGCAUCAGUAUUUUCUAUACGUAGUGAUAUGGUUUGGAGGUUUGUCCCCUCCAAAUCUUAUGCUGAAAUAUGUUUGAGGUGGGGCCUAGUGGGACCUAAGGAGAGUCUCACUCCCACUAUGCCCCUCCCCGCAAUAACACCAAGUCUGUUUCCAGGCAGUUGGCAAGCAGGAUUGAGAACUUACUCCAGCCUACCUGUUUUCCAGCUGCGAAAGCAAGUAGGGCUAUGGGGUCUGCAGACUGGAUUCACACCCUUCCCCGAGUUCUGGCCAGGAGACUUCUUGAUUAGUUAUAAUUGUUAUGAAGUUCAUCUGGAGGUUUCCUUCUCCCUGUGACCCUUCCCCAGUGCCUCUGGCAGCCCUCUCUGAGGACUCCUAUGAGGCAAGGCAGAAAUGGCUUGCUAGGGGACCCAGCGAGCCCACAGGACUUUUCCUGUGUUUUCUUUUACCCCUUAUUUCACUUGGCUCUCUAAAUUGACUCAGCUCCAGGUAAGGUCAGUAUCUUCUCCUGUGAUCCAGACCUUCAGGUUUCACAGUGAGAAUUUGAUUUUAGGGGUGGACAAUUCCCCUUUCCCACUUCCACAGCUUGGACACUCACAGAGUUUGGGGUGUUUCCUGAGUCCUGCAGGAGCAAUCUGCUUUCUUCGGAGGGUCUGUAGGUUCUCUUAGCUUUCGUGAUUGAUUCCUGAAGUUGUUCUGAAGUAAAAGUUCAUGAUGUGGGCCUCCACACACUGCUCUGUCUGUCCGAGUGGGAGCUGCAAUGUAGUCUGCUUCUUGUCUGCCUUGAUCUCUCCAGUCAGCAUAAUGUUUUUGAAGUUUAUCUGUGUUGUAUUGUGUUUCAGUACUUAAUUCCUUUUUAUGACUGAAUAAUAUUAAAUCACUUGGAUAAACCACAUUUUAAAAUACAUUUAUUAGUUGAUGGACAUUUGGGUUUUUUUUGGCUAUUGUGAAUAGUACUGCUAUGAACAUUCAUGUAUAGGUUUUUAUUUGAAAUCUGUUUUUAAUUAUUUUGGGUAUAUACUUAGGAGUGGAAUUGCUGAGUCCUAUGGUACUUCUUCUAUUUUUAACUUAUUUAGAAACUGACAAACUAUUUUCUUUUCUUUUUUUGAGACGGAGUUUCACUCUUGUUACCCAGACUGUAGUGCAAUGGCGCGAUCUCAGCUCACCGCAUCCUCCGCCUCCUGGGUUCAAGCAAUUCUCCUGCCUCAGCCUUGCGGAAUAGCUGGGACUACAAGCGCGCACCACCAUGCCCAGCUAAUUUUUGUAUUUUCAGUAGAGAUGGGGUUUCACCAUGUUGACCAGGGUGGUCUCUAUCUCUUGACCUCGUGAUCCACCCGCCUCGGCCUCCCAAAGUGCUGGGAUUAUAGGCGUUAGCCACCGCGCCCUGCCUCUCUUUUUUUUUUGAGACGGAGUUUCGCUCUUGUCACCCAGGCUGGAACGCAAUGGCGUGAUCUCGGCUCACCGCAACCUCCGCCUCCCGGGUUCAGGCAAUUCUCCUGCCUCAGCCUCCUGAGUAGCUGGGAUUACAGGCACGCGCCACCAUGCCCAGCUAAUUUUUUGUAUUUUUAGUAGAGAUGGGGUUUCACCAUGUUGACCAGGGUGGUCUCUAUCUCUUGACCUCGUGAUCCACCCGCCUCGGCCUCCCAAAGUGCUGGGAUUACAGGCGUGAGCCACCGCGCCUGGCCACAAACUAUUUUCAAAAGUGACUGCAUAAUUUUACAUUUCCUCCAAGACUACAUGAGAAUUCCUUUUUUUUCUCUGUGACUCUAGCCAAAGAAGAGAAUUCCAAUUUUUUCAUAUUCUCAUCAACACUUGUUAUAUUCAGUUUUUUGAGAAAAAUUAUAACUAUUGUAGUGGAUGUGGAGUGGUACCUCAUUGUGGUUUUGAUUUGGAUUUCCCUAAUAACUAAUGAUAUUGAGCAUCUAUUCAUGUAAUUUUUGACCAUCUGUAUAACUUAUGUGGAGAAAUGUCUAUGUAAGUCCUUUGCCUGUUUACAAAUUGGGUGUUGAGUUGUAAGAAUUAUUUAUAUAUUCAGGACACUAGACAAUUAACAGAUAUAUGAUUUGCAAGUAUGUAUUCCCAUUCCAUAGGUUGCCUUUUCACUCUGUUGAUAGUGUCUUUUGAUGCACAAAAAUAAAAAAAUAUUUGAUGAAGCCUAUUUAUUUAUUUAUUUAUUUAUUAACAGGGUCUUGCUCUGUUACCAGUCUAGAGUUAGCACCAUCAUAGCUCACUGAAGCCUGAAACUCCUGAGGUCAAGAGAUCCUCCCACCUUACCCUCCUGAGAAGCUGGGACUACAGGCAUGUGUGCUUAGCUAAUUUUUUUUU